rnacentral:rRNA from 1 species
GGACGAACGCUGGCGGCGUGCUUAACACAUGCAAGUCGAACGGAAAGGCCCUGCUUUUGUGGGGUGCCCGAGUGGCGAACGGGUGAGUAACACGUGAGUAACCUGCCCUUGACUUUGGGAUAACUUCAGGAAACUGGGGCUAAUACCGGAUAGGAGCUCCUGCUGCAUGGUGGGGGUUGGAAAGUUUCGGCGGUUGGGGAUGGACUCGCGGCUUAUCAGCUUGUUGGUGGGGUAGUGGCUUACCAAGGCUUUGACGGGUAGCCGGCCUGAGAGGGUGACCGGCCACAUUGGGACUGAGAUACGGCCCAGACUCCUACGGGAGGCAGCAGUGGGGAAUAUUGCACAAUGGGCGGAAGCCUGAUGCAGCAACGCCGCGUGCGGGAUGACGGCCUUCGGGUUGUAAACCGCUUUCGCCUGUGACGAAGCGUGAGUGACGGUAAUGGGUAAAGAAGCACCGGCUAACUACGUG